CAAUAGCGUAUAUUAAAGUUGUUGCAGUUAAAAAGCUCGUAGUUGGAUUUGUGGCGUAUGGUGUGUUCCGGGCACUUGUUGUCUGAGUAACUUGCCAUUGCCAUCCUUGGGUGGAACCUGUGUGGCAUUAGGUUGUCGUGCAGGGGAUGCCCAUCGUUUACUGUGAAAAAAUUAGAGUGUUCAAAGCAGGCUUAUGCCGUUGAAUAUAUUAGCAUGGAAUAAUAAGAUAGGACUUUUUUGCUAUUUUGUUGGUUUGCGCGAGAAGGUAAUGAUUAAUAGGGAUAGUUGGGGGUAUUCGUAUUCCAUUGUCAGAGGUGAAAUUCUUGGAUUUUUGGAAGACGAACUACUGCGAAAGCAUUUACCAAGGAUGUUUUCAUUGA
rnacentral:rRNA from 1 species